UAACACGUCGCAAUCAACACUAUCGUUAUUUGCAUACUCGAGAUCCGAGCGCAAUUUUUGCGCGAUAGUUUCAUCAGUGAGUGACUAGCGAACGGAUCGUUGAUCGACCUAUCGAACGAGUCUCAGCGGAGAAUCGAAUUCGAAGCAUUUGGAUCGGAACGAUCGAUCUGCUUGAUUAAUCCACGGUUGUUCAUGAUCAACUUUUUUCUGGAACGUCUCGAUCAGCCGCGAAAUUGGAUAUUUCAGCAACUAAACGAAGGGAAGAGAUCGUGUUUCGGAAAACGGAAAAGUAGACAUUGGUUUUCAGCGCCUGGAAUACACGCCAAUCGUGGCGAUAGACGUGUAAACUGUGCGUAAUUAAUCAAUCGUCGAUUAAGUCUGCGUUGCAAAGGUUAAGGACGAUUAAUCGCAUACACGCUGUGACGCGCUUAUCGCGUAUUUUACGUCGACCCUCUUGAAACAAUGUCACGGCCGAACGAGGCAGGCUAACGAGGAAAAAAUCUGUCGCUGAUCGGGGCCGUUGCCAAUUAGUUCUCUUUACAAUUCACGAUAAUAAACUGGAAUAUUAAACAAAUCGCAGAGAAACUAAACAGAGAAAACGAGAAACAGAAAUAACGCGACAAAAGAAACUGUGUCAUAUAUAUGCUAAUGCAAAAGACGAAGAUUAAAAUAGCCGAUUUUUCGUAUCCAAUUCACCCUAUGAUCUCUGAUCUAAGAUCGCCUUAUGAUGCUCUCUCAUGCAUACGCUCGUUUGUCUCGCGCAAACGUGUACCAGCGACAGAAUAAAUCACGCCAGGCUCUUGCCAGGCUACGAGUCAGAUAACCAAAUAAGUUCCUCAGCUUUAUCGCGAAUCCCGGACAAAUCGUCGAAAUUUGGCACGACCAGAGGCAGCGGCCGCGAUCGUGAGUGGAUACGAGAAGCUAAAUGGAGCGGUAAAAGUGACCAGCGUCGGCCGAUAGCGUGCGUCCGCGCGUAAGCACGUAAUGGCUUCGAGAAUGGAACGAGGAGAAGGAAGAGGAACGGGUCGUUAAUAGCAAGACUGAGUGUAGGCCGCACGCAACGGCGAACAGGUCGUUCUCUGGAUACCGCAAAUUGCUUUGUUAUAUCUAUCUUGAAUAUAUGCAUGAAGGAUCAUAGGGAGGACGACGAGACGAAGAUUUUUUCCCUGAUAAUCGAGAAACGCUCGAGGAAAUAGUAUAAACGCAGCCGGCCAAGACGAAAAGAGAGAAGGGAAAAAGACGAAGGGAGAAAAAGGGAACGAGUGGAAACGGUUGGUUGGUGGAGAAAGAGAAGAAAGGGAAGAUCAGGCAACAAAGGACGCGGAAUGGCUAGGAAAGUGUAUGUAGACGGCGCGGCGGAAAGAAGAAUGGUGCACGAAAACGACGGCAGGAUGAAUGUCCUUGUGGUCGAGCUGCGAUGGUACAGUCAUUAGAAUGUAUUGUGGCUCAACGGUUUGACACGCUCCCUUUUGCGACGCGCCGCUCCACAUACCUCCGGUUCUCGUUCUCCAGAAAGUUUAUCUCCGCCAAGACCUUUUCACUUUUACGCAGUGGCAGAUGCACAGAAUUGCGCGCCUGAUGCAUAUAAACCGGUCAUUCUAAUAUACUAAAUAAUAGGUAGCAGAGCGCUAUACUUUUGUUGAUCUUUUGUGGACCGUGGCUCGGUCAGCUCUGCUGUAAAGUGCUGAGAAUGCGUAGAUGGUAAAGGCACUCGUAGAUAGCAGAAGCAGACUAUCAGACUAUUUUGUAAAUUUUAUAGCUAUUAUCAUAAAUUAUUAUAAUCUUGGGUAAUGAUAUAACGGAAUCGUAGAAUCAAUCGAGGAAAUUAAUUCCUUAACAAUGGAAGUACUAUUAGAUUGUCCGAAAAGUUUCUUUCGUUUUAGGAAAUAUCA